GGUAGAGCUCAGUGGUGGAGCGCGUGCUUAGCAUGCAUGAGGUCCUGAGUUCAAUCCCCAGCACUGCCA
rnacentral:tRNA from 1 species